GGAGGGUGCAAGCGUUGUUCGGAAUUAUUGGGCGUAAAGAGCAUGUAGGCGGCCUAGUAAGUCUGAUGUGAAAUCCCAGGGCUUAACCCUGGAACUGCAUUGGAUACUGCUAGGCUAGAGACCGAGAGAGGAAAGCGGAAUUCCUGGUGUAGGGGUGAAAUCCGUAGAUAUCAGGAGGAACACCGGAGGCGAAGGCGGCUUUCUGGCUCGGUUCUGACGCUGAGAUGCGAAAGCGUGGGGUAGCGAACGGGAUUAGAUACCCCGGUAGUCCACGCCCUAAACGAUGGAUACUAGACGUUGGAGUUCCUAAUAGCUUCAGUGUCGCAGCUAACGCGGUAAGUAUCCUGCCUGGGAUUACGGUCGCAAGAUUA
rnacentral:rRNA from 1 species